rnacentral:rRNA from 1 species
GACGGGGGGGGCAAGUGUUCUUCGGAAUGACUGGGCGUAAAGGGCACGUAGGCGGUGAAUCGGGUUGAAAGUGAAAGUCGCCAAAAACUGGCGGAAUGCUCUCGAAACCAAUUCACUUGGGUGAGACAGAGGAGAGUGGAAUUUCGUGUGUAGGGGUGAAAUCCGCAAAUCUACGAAGGAAGGCCAAAAGCGGAGGCAGCUCUCUGGGUCCCUACCGACGCUGGGGUGCGAAAGCGUGGGGAGCAAACAGG